rnacentral:rRNA from 1 species
UUAGAUGGAGAGUUUGAUCCUGGCUCAGGACGAACGCUGGCGGCGUGCCUAACACAUGCAAGUCGAGCGGUCCGGCACUCAGCACAGUGCUCAUUCGGGGGAUGUAGGAAGUAGAGGGAGAGGCGA